rnacentral:rRNA from 1 species
GACGGAGGAUGCAAGCGUUAUCCGGAAUCACUGGGCGUAAAGCGUCUGUAGGUGGUUUAAUAAGUCAACUGUUAAAUCUUGAGGCUCAACCUCAAAAUCGCAGUCGAAACUAUUAGACUAGAGUAUAGUAGGGGUAAAGGGAAUUUCCAGUGGAGCGGUGAAAUGCGUAGAGAUUGGAAAGAACACCGAUGGCGAAGGCACUUUACUGGGCUAUUACUAACACUCAGAGACGAAAGCUAGGGUAGCAAAUAGG